GCAUGGCCUUAAAACACCCUACUUUUGUUAUUUUUAAUACAUUUGUAAAUGUCAUGGCACAGGUUGCCAUGGUUAUAUUUUUUCCUGUUAGAUAUUGUAAAUUGUAUUAAAACAAAGAAGUGGAUGUAGACUAAUAGAAGUGUUUUAUCACGUUGUGUAUGCAUGUAUUUCUGAGGUUCGUAUCUGGACGCGGGAAGAAAGCGUGUGGGCGGGUUCCUUUAUAAGCGUCGGGAAGCUCUUCCAUCCAGACAUAUUUCACAAACGCAUCGGAGCAACUUGACGUCACCGUGAAGCAUUGCUACUAAUAAAUCUCUUGUGUUCGGAGUGCUAAUGAAAAUGCAGUUGAAAUACUUGUGCUUACUUCUUGGAAUGAUUCUGUGUUCCUUAAUGGUGUGUGAUGCUUUCCCAUUUCGUGGUGGAAAUAUAGAUUAUAUGGAGGCGUUACGUCGCAUGCAACAGAUCCCCCAGUGGCAUUGCAUGCGGUACCGCAAGUUCCAACUGCACGGACACUGCAGUCGAUGGUUACUGAUGAGAAGAUCGUGAUAUCAAUCAGGAAACCGUCGGAAGUAUUAACAUUCCUGCAAAUGUUUUGUGCGCGUAGAGCAUGUGAAAUCUGGACUGGGCAAUUUGACAUCUGAUAAAUGAUUCCAUUAAGUAUUUCCAUUAUGCACUUUAUUACAGUAUUAUGUCGUAAAUAAUUCAGUCGCUUUGUGAGAAAAUGGCCUAUUCCAUAAUAAAGUGACAAUUGGGACGGAGUAAUAAAAUUCGGCAUUUUCAUAUAUGUUUUUAUAGAUUACAUAUCGAUUCAUUUUUCAUUUAUCUAGAGCAUGGACCACUCUUUCGCGAAGCGACUUUCAUUUAGAUUCAUCUAGUAUUAUAGACGUAUUGUACUGACUAUACAUUGUGAAACUUAAUACUAGAUAUCAAGAAUAUAAUGUAGUUACAUUUGAUAUUCUUCCUAAGACAAGAAAAAAAAACGGUACGUAGGUGUUAAAUAUUAUAUUUCAAAUACUUAGUAGUGUUAUUUAUAAAGUUAAUAUUAUGCUUACCAAAUGUUAACCAAACCAUACCAAAAAUAUUUAGAAAAAUCUAGACUUAAAUAAUUUCGUUAGAACAAUUCUAUAAAUGUGUAUCUAGCGUUUGUAGGAAUGAGAUUAUUUCGUUUGAUAAGUAUCCUAUUCUCUAAUUGUGCGAUGUUAAAAAAAUAUACAUUUUUAAUUAAAAUUAGGGGAAUUAGUGACAAUUCUAGUACUUACAAAAUUUGCUAAACUUCUUAAUAAUAUAAGAAUUUAAAAAUAUAAUUUUAAGAAUUAAAAAUAAACGAAUCUUAAAAUUCACAAGAAGAAUUCAUUUCCUGUCCAAUUUCAAAUAAUUAUUGGUACAUUAAAACUUUUCUAAAACAUAGUUCAUAUAGAAAUGUUUUUUUCUAAUUUAUAGACCCUUGCAUUAGCACUAACUGCUCUCUUCCUGUAACUGCCAAUAAAGUGGGUCAUUUCCAGAAUGUACUCAGCACUGAGUAACGAGCUUGUGUCACCGGUGACUGCGUUUCAUUUCGUAACCUCUGAUGCACGUUUGUUAUGUCAUGAGAUUGCUUCCGAGAUUGUACUCCAAACGAUAGAUAUCUUAAUCAUUAGGUGCUGGUAAGUGUCAUAUAAUUAGUCCUACUUGUGAAACAUGCUAUUUGUUUGAGUAGAUUUAAAGCAAUACGUGGUAAAUCAGUAAGCUCUAUUUAAAAUCUGAUCAAUACGUCGUGCUGAUAAUUAUUUAAGAUUGCCACCCGAAAUGCGUUUCAAAAUAAUUUUCCAUUUGGUAAUUAUUAUGCAAUAGAAAAUUUUGAUAAUUAGAAUAUAAGUGAGUAUAUAUUUCAUUGUAUUUAAUAAAAUUACACAGUUUUAAAAA